rnacentral:lncRNA from 1 species
AAGGAGUGUGGGGUGAGUCUUGUGUAUGAGGAUGAUGGAGAGAAGAAGGAUGAAGAAGAAGAUGUGUUGGGUUAUUACAAGUCAUGGAAUCAUAUAAUUGGUGGAGAUCUCUCUCCUUUUCAAACAACAACAGGACAAUACAUCCUAAACGACAGGUGGUUUUUUACACAUGCCAUUGUAUUGUCUCCCUAUCAUCGUAAAUUCGUUCCAGACGGCCCCGACAUUCAAGGUAGAUGUGAUUUUUGUUAAAUAUAUUUUUAUUGUCAUGUCUUAUGUAUAAUGACCUACCUCACCCAUCACCCACUUUCUUUAAUUACAUGGAUAAUGACCCAUUUAUUUUAAUACAUAUGUCAUAACUUAAAUCUUUUAAACAACUGGAUCAUAUAUACUAUUGAUUUUAUUGACCCAUAAGAUAAGAUGUUGUUUUAUAAAAAUAUUAAAGAUAAAAGUUGUACUUUAAAUUUAUAAAUUGCAUUGAUUCGUGUAGUCUACAACAGGAGGUCCAAGAAGCCCAUCAAAUUAGUUGGGAUCAAGUCCAGUCCUUAUCACCCUUGUUUAGCUGCAGUUAAGAGUUUUAUUUUUCUUUUGUAUGUUAAUAGCAUUCUGUUAUGAGUGAAGCACCAUCUUUAGGACAGGGGGCAGCCUUUUUGGUUUGGUAUGGUGUGCUGGCAUCCAUUUUACCCUACCCUGAGGACUAUUUAAACUUUUCAUUUUCUAGAAAAUUGUAGUAGAAAAAGUUAUUGGAGAGACCCUUCCUCUUGAAAGAAUGGGAAAAAACCCUAAUAAAUCAUUUAUUAUCAGUUAAUUGUUUCUGGUUGUGAAUUUCCUGCUUAUUCUCUUUACUCUGUGUGGGGCUUAUCAGCACACUCAAUUGAUCAAGACUUUUGAUAAGUUGGAUCACAUAAAUAUACCUGGGCCCAAUACGACUACUUUGUCCGAAUGGAUUAUUUGUGAAUAAUGCUUAACACAUAACUUUUUAUCUGUUUUCAGAAUACAAGGAAGAUUAUUGGUUCAGAGCUUUAUCCUGAAGGAAGCCUGAUAUAAGUGGUCGCACACAUGAGGUAUACUUUUUGACACCCAAACCUUUUCUCUCUUCGCGUGAACAAAAGGCAUACACAACCGAAUAUUAGGAAUCAAAGUUCUCAAUUGGUUUAGGGUGUAACAAAAUAAGAGAAGUAAUUAUAACCUUUCAUUGAAUGCAUUAAAGUGGAAAUAUUAAAAUUUGGAAUCAUUGAAUACUACAAAUAUCUGUUCAUACCAUGUCUAAACACUAUGGGUCAAAAUCUAGGAUUGAAUUCUCACCACUCCCUGCCACGGUUUUGGGGAAUGGCAUCACCUGUCAUGACUCGUUUUUGUAUCUAGAGUCUCCUAGAAGGAGAGCGUGAAUUUGUAUAUAGAUCUAUACUGGAUUGACUAUCCUACACCUUGCUAUUCACUACAGUUGGACUUGCAAGUCUACGGGUGCCAAAUGUCAUUUCUUCCGAUGUCUUUCAUCGUCGUGUUAUUAGUUGAUAGUAUGGUGCAAUCAUAUCACAUUAUACCUUAAAUAACAAUUGGUUUAAGGUAGAUAGUACAACAGUAGUUACUAUAAUACAACACUACAGUACUAUUAUUAUUUCCCCAUUACAUUCAAAUUGUGAUCUUCUUACACAAGCGGUAAUGUAGAAAUUAUAUUUUUGGUUAAUGAUAGUCACACUUGGGAAAAUACACACUUUUACAAGAAACAAACAUACAGAACAUUUGAUGCCUUGGUAGAAGGCUAAGUUUAAUAGAAAAUAUAGGAUUUUCUAGGAGAUACAAACAUUUACUACAAACAAUUACAAACUUAUACAUCAAACACUUACAAACAUUUUCAUACAAACAAUGACACUAAAAUGCUUAUGAACUCACCAGCUUUAAAACUGAUAAACUCUUUUAAAAUUUGGAAUCAUUGAAUUCUCACCACUCCCUGUCACAGUGUAAUAUGCAACUAAGACCAAUUUAUAGAUUAAUAAUCUUCAGUAGAUGUUGUUCUUGGGUAGAUUCUAUGUUAAUAACAAACUAUUACACUUUGGAAAACAAUAUGAAAUUGAUCAAGCAUAUUGCUUGAUUUUAGGGAAUCUUAAUGAUAGAUUCAUUCUUAGGAUAGAAGCAAGCAACAUGUUGAGAAUGCUUAAAUUGCUUCAAGAGUUUGGAAGAGAUGUGUCUCUAGGAAUCAUUAAUAUUGUUGAAUCAAGAGAAUGUAACAGAAACUUUUACAAUUUUCUUACUUUUCCUUCUUAUGUAGGGUGAGGGGGAAUCUUCAAGGUCUCAUCCUUCAUUCACAUGAAAAGGGUUGAGAAAGCUAGAGAGGCUACAUGGCUGGCAUGAAUAGAAAAUAGAUGUAUUCGGCAACUGGGGGAAUCUUCAAGGUCAAUCAUAUGCAAGUCAAUGAGCUAUAUAUGUUACUUUUCCAGAAGAAUUAAGAUAAUAUAUACCAGCCUCUACUGCAAAAUUAAACACAUUUUGAAUUGUAUGUUAUUUCCCCAUGAUUCUUUUAAGCAUAGUUAUCAAAAUUAAACACUUCUUGAAUUGUGUGCUAUUUCCUUAUCAUAAUUGGAAUUGAAAAUUUUGUCUCAACUCUCAAUCAUUGCAUUAUCAACAAUGUCCAUCGUGUCUACGGACUCAAAAUCUCAAAUCCUUGAUAGGAUUCUAUACUUUGUUUGGGUACUAUGUAAAAUUAGCAUGCUACACCUUAAUAUACUAAGACUCUGAUUCAGAGUUGUGUGAGGUAACUAAGUAGGGAGUCCUUUGGCUCCGCAGUCGGGCUGGGACCCGGUAUUUCAGAUAAUUGGUGAACGAACUGAGACCAGGAGGUCUCGUUAGAUUUUGGAGAGCAGCCAUGUGGUAGCAUACUGCUUCAAGCAGUUCAGUGUUUCAGGCAGUUACGUGUUUUAGGCAGUUCAGUAUUUCAUGCGGUUCCGUGUUUCAGGCAGUUCAGUGUUCAGGCAGUAAGUGUUUUAGGCAAUUCAGUGUUUCAUAAAUUUCAAUGCUUCGGACAGUCAGUGUCUCAAGCGGUAAUGGUAACUGAGGAUCUCAUGUAUGGUAAGUGUAAUAGAUUGCUGAGUAAUGCUAAGUUACCCACCGCGGGGUUCAUCUAUAAUGAUUCAGUAUGAGUGGUCUAUUAAGGAUUCAGAUCAUCUAGAGACAGCAAAUUUCAGACAGAGUACAUGUAAUCUUGUUGCGAGGUAUUUGUUCACCUUAGGAAUUUAGGGCUUUACGAAGAUUGUCACGACUACCCUAGGAAGCCUAGGGUGUGCUCAGGAUAGUGACCAUGUUACUUGAGUGGUUCGGCGCAUAAGAGAUGGUAAGGAAUGAUUUCGAGGACAAAAUCUAAUUUAAGUGGGGGAGAGUUGUAACACCCUGUUUAUUUAUUAGAUAAAAAAUUAAUUAAUGAAUGAAUACUAGCCCUAAAAUAAAUAAUUAUAUUUCAAAAGUUGAUCUUGAGGAGCUAAUUGUCACCCUUUAAGAGAUUGGGGGUUAAAAGUGUAAGUUCCAGAUUAGUUUUUUAAGUAUUUAAGAAGGCAGGGGCUAAAUGGUAAGUAUUAUACUCGAUUUGUAAAGAAUUUUAAGGCUGAGGGUUAAAAAGGUAUAUUGGGGAUUUAUGUUGAAAGAAAAGGAGGGUGGAGGGGCUUAUCUUGCCAUUAUGGAAAACUUAUGUAUGGAGGCGGGUAUUUAAGGGUUCAAACCCUAAACCUAGUGCAAGAAACUACAUCUGCCAUCUCCUUUUUCAUUCUGGUAGCCGCUGCUACCAUUGGAGCCUCCUCAGCCACCAUUUGCGUCACCAAGCCCGACAACCCAGUCCCGCCUACUGUAUAUGAGGAUGAUGGAGAGAAGAAGGAAGAAGAAGAAGAUGCAUUGGGUUAUUACAAGUCAUGGAAUCACAUAAUUGGUGGAGAUCUCUCUCCUUUUCAGACAACUACAGGACAAUACAUCCUAAACAAUAUGCAGUUUUUUACACAUGCCAUUGAUUUGUCUCCCUACCAUCGUAAAUUCGUUCCAGACGGCCCCGACAUUCAAGGUAGAUGUGAUUUUUGUUAAAUAUAUUUUUAUUCUCGUGUUUUAUGUAUAAUGACCUACCUUACCCAUCACCCACUUUCUUUAAAUACAUGGAUAAUGACCCAUUUAUUUUAAUAGACGGAUCAUAACUUCAAUCUUUUAAACAAAUGGAUCAUAUAUAUUAUUGAUUUUAUUGACCCAUAAGAUCAGAUUUUGUUGUUAUAAAAAAAUAUAAAAGCUAAAAGUUGUAAUUUUAAUUUAUAAAAUGAAUAGACCCAAACAUUGAUUCAGAAACGGGGACAGUUCUGGUCCCAGGGGUACUUUGGGAAAACUUUCCUAAUUUAAAGUUUUGAGUUAGUUUAGGAUUCCAAUUAGGGUAUGGUUGUGUGACCUUUUUAAUUAAGUUUUUUUUCAGUCUUUUCAGUAAUAAAAUUUGGAGAACAAGUAAUUUUCCCAGAUUUCUUCCUCCCCUGUUUCGCUCAUGCUCUAUUUCUUUUCUGCACACAGCUGAAGUUUCCAUUCUGUCAUAAUCAAGUGAAUUGAUAUGGUGUGGUGGCAUCCAUUUUACCCCACCCUGAGGAGUAUUUAAACUUUUCAUUUUCUAGAAGGUUGUCAGCUAAGAAAAUUCUAGUAGCAAAAACUAUUUGAGAGGCCCUUCCUCUUGAAAGAAUGGGAAAACCCUAAUAAAUCAUUAAUUAUCAGUUACUUGUUUCCAGUUGUGAAUUUCCUGCUUAUUCUCUUUACUCUGUGUGGGGCUUAUUAGCACACUCAAUUGAUCACAUAAACAUUCAUGGACCUAAUAUGACUACUUUGUCCAAAUGGAUUAUUUGUGAAUAAUGACUAACACAUAACUUGUUAUCUGUUUUCAGUAGAAAAGGAAAGGUUUUGGUUGAGAGCUUUAUCCCUAAGGAAGCCUGACAUAAGUGGUCGUGCACAUAAGGUAUACUUUUUGACACCCAAACGUUUUCUCUCUUCGCGUGAACAAAAGGAAUACACAACCGAAUAUUAGGAAUCAAAGUUCUCAAUUUGUUUAGGGUGUAACAAAAUAGGAGGAGUUAUAACCUUUCACUGAAUGCAUUAAAGUGGAAAUAUUAAAAUUUGGAAUCAUAGAAUACUACAAAUAUCUGUUCAUACCAUGUCUAAACACUAUGGGUCAAAAUCUAGGAUUGAAUUCUCACCAUUCCCUGUACUUGUCUCAGUGUAAUAUGCAAGUAGGACCAAUUCAUAGAUUAAUCAUAUUCAGUAGACGUUCUUGGGUAAAUUCUAUGUUAAUAACAAACUAUUGCAUUUUGGAAAACAAGAUGAAAUUGUUUAAGCAUAUUGCUUGAUUUUAAGGAAUCUUAUUGAUAGAUUCAUUCUUAGGAUAGGAAUCAUUAUUCUGUUGAAUCAAGAAAAUGUAACAUAAACUUUAACAAUUUUCUUACUUUCCUUUUUAUGUAGGGUGAGGGGGAAUCUUCAAGGUCUCAUCCUUCAGAUGAAAAGGAUUGAGAAAGAGAGGCUACAUGGCUGGCAUGAAUAGAAAAUAGAUGGGUAGCCUGAUGCUAUUGCAAAUUCAUUAUAUCCUACUUUUCUAGAAGAAUUAAGAUAAUAUAUUCCAGCCUCUACUGCAAAAUUAAACACAUUUGUAUUUGUAUGUUAUUUCCCCAUGAUUCUUUUAAGCAUAGUUAUCAAAAUUAAACACUUCUCGAUUUGUGUGCUAUUUCCUGAUCAUUAUUUGAACUGAAAUCUUAGUCUCAGUUAUUGCCUUAUCAACAAUGUCCAUAUGAAAGAUGAGAAUUCUCGUAUCAUUUGUUUUCUUGUUUUGUUUAUUUAUUUAUUUAUUUAUUUUUUAUUUUAGAAGCAACACUUUUAGGUCGCCCCUUUUUCUACACAUCACGAUACAGAAUAGUAUCACAUAUUAAUUUAUAUAUCUUAUCUUUACUGUCCUCUAUAUCUUUUAUUGUUACUAUUUGUGGUUGCCAAAAGAAUAUCAUAUUCUCAUUUAUUUUCAUUUUCCAGCUCAUCUUGAUAUCAUAUCAAGUUAUCAGUAGUGUUUUUGCAACAAAG